CCGGUGCAGGCGAGGACGCCGCCGCAGUCGCCGGUCUGGCAGUGGCCGUUGCCGUUGGAAUCGAAGGAGCAGCCGGUGCGAGCCCAGACGCGGCCGCCGGUGGUGCCGUCAGCCACGUUGAAGGUCCAGGACUGACCUGGGUUGAGCUGGGCGCCGCCGCCGGGGGAGGCGGCGCCCCAGACGGUGUAGGAGCAACGGUUGACGACGUUGAAGGUCGAGGCGGCGGCGAGAGGGACGAGGGCGAGGAGCAGGAGAGGGAGAGUGGUUUGUGUGGCCAUUUUUGAGGAGAAAAUGGAUUUAGAGUGUUGUUGUUGUUGUUGUUGUUAAGUGUGGUGUUGUGUGUAGGAAAGGAGGGGGGGAAGAGGGAGUGCAAUUUAUAGAGGUUUCGGAGAGGUCGCAUGGGGGAAGUUGUGCGGACGUUUUGAGAUUAAGAGGAAAAUUCAAAUAUUACGUACUAUGAACAAUGUGGCUAGUUAAUUGGCCGCGUAUGUAGGGAUGUUGAUGUUUCGACUUAUGCGUAACGCUUGUAUUCUCUUCUCACCAAGAAAAAAUAUAUGUUUAAGUCUAACAGGGAGAGAAUAUAUUUUACUCUCUAGAUACCAAAUAAAUAUUCCCAAGAGAUAAAAAAUUUUAUUAGAUUAUUGUGUCAAAAAAAAAAAAUCUUGACUAAAUGCACCUUCAUAUUAUUACUUUUUUUUUAUUCCUUCUUAAGAUAGUUAAGUGUAUUAUUUUUUCUUUUCAUUAAUUGCACUAUGUGAAGGCGAGUUCCAAGUUUCUUUCUCUAAAGUCCAGAUGGAGCAUUAAAUGCGUCUGUUGCCCCUCUUCCUCGGGAGUCGGGAGCCACGCCAUCCUUCGCAUCCCCGGCCCCUGCUGUCCUCGCACCCCCUGAUGGAAAAACUUCCUCGGGCCCCACUUUUGUACUCGGACUGGAGCUCAACCAGUUGUGUACUUGUGUUGGGACCUCUCUAUUCUCCGAUGCGGACCGGGCCCCUCACCGAGCCCAACUACGCUCCGGCUCCAUCUUCUCUUUCCCUCCCGGUUCCGACCCAGUUGGCCAUUCGGCUCAGCUCCCGGCCCAUCGGGGCUGCGUUAUGGGCUACCCUACUUCGCAGUCCAGCGCAGGCCAUGGGUUGCGCUAGUAUUACACGCUGCCUAUGCUGUUUCUUUGAAAAAAUUUUAAAAUGCAACGGUAUAUUGAUGACGUGACGUAACAAAUCAAUCAAAAAAAUUCUUUUAGAAAUAUAUGUCCCAUCGUGAUUAUAAAAAAUAUUUUUAUUGUAUUUUUGUUUGAAAAGAAAAAAGGUGAUUGAUUUGUUAUUGAUGACGUGGUGCAAGUGUGAUAGUUUAGAAUUUCUCGUUUCUUUGCGCCAGUCUCGAUUGGAGCGAUCGCCACGUCGCCGACGCCUCUCCCGCUCCCGCUUCUCUGACGGAGUCUCCUUCCAUUAACAAGCACCCUCCAUCCGACCUCUCCAUUAAAGAAGUCGCGACCGCUCCCAGUGUCAGCAGGCGAAAGUAAUAUAAUCGGGCGAGACGACGACUUAUAAACAAAAUAAAAUGACAAAAUUGGUGCAAUUAAAGAAUCAGGUGAUUCAUCUACCGUACCGUCUUUAUGAGGGCAAGCAAAUGAAUGUAGAAAGCUUUUUAAAAACACUUCAUUGGAAAGCCUUCAAUUUAUUGUCUCAUGCAAAAAUAUAAUAUUUUUUAAAAAAUUAUAAGUUAUAUGAAUUUCUGAACGAGAAAUCUCGACCGGUUGCAUAAAAAUUAUAAGUUAUAUAUAUAAAUUUCUGACGAAUCAAUAACAUCGCUUUGGACCGACCGUUCUUAGAGCAAGUGGCAAAUGGCUCGGUGGUUGGUAUUUGAAAUUCCAAAUUCGAAUUUUAAUUGAUUCACAUUUCCAGCUAAAUUUAUUUCUAUAUAAAAUAAAUGAAGCGUGUAUUGUGCUAUCUAUCUCUUAAAAAAAAAAAUAAAAUAAAAAACAUCGCUUUGGCUUUAUCAUUGAAAAACCGAAGUUCAUAAAAGUAACGGCUGACCCACACUGUUUUCUCUGACUCCCAUAAAUAAAGCAAACCUAUCAAUUGCUAGGUCAACGUUGACCCAGGAAAAACGUAGCCGUUGUAAAAGUUGAUUUUAAAAGAUGGCGGGAACGGCCUGUGGAGUUAUAUAAACCAAAUUAUUUGAAGAGUCUGGUUGUUUUGAUGGCUUAUUUUUUGGAUUUUGGUUCUGUGGAACAUUCAAUGAACAUUUAUUACAAUUUAAAUCACUACUACAAUUUUUUUUUUUCCCUUUCAAUUUAAACAACCAACUUUGUCUCUCUAUCUCUCUCAAAAAAAAAUUUUUUGUCUCUCUAUAGUCAACCGAAAAGUCAAAUGUGAAAAAAAUAUUUAUAGAGUGUUCUAUUAUUUGAUUAAUUGUUCUUUUAAGUAGUGCUACGGGAGGAGCCCGUAUUUUUAAGUUAAAAAAGCUUUUACUUUAUUUAGAGCAUGAAAUUUUAUUUUUUAUUCAGUUUUUUGUUGCAGCAGCCCACAUAAUAAAUGAGAAAAUGUUGUAACUAUGUAUAUUUCCUAUCCAACCAAAUGAAUCAGGCGUAUUACUUUUAUUUCAAACUAAACAAUCCCCAUGGAAGGAGCUUCUACAGAGUAGCCACCUUCUCUUACACAAUUACUUUAUUCCACAAUGCUUUAUUCAAGACGCAUACAAUACGUAGGCAUACGUCCAUGUAUAGAUACCGCUAUACGUAUAGUAGUAUAUAACUGUGAUCUAAGGGCAAAACACAACCUGGUAGUUGGUGUUUCCAGGGCAAGUGAAAGUGGUGCCGUCGUAAUCGUCAGGAUAGCUGAAAGCCUGAGGGCACUGGCCCUUGAAGUACUCGGAGUACUGCGUCGGGUUGCAGCUGCUCCCGGACGGGCAGCAGUACUCCGGCGCCCCGAAGAUCGUGCACGGGUCAUCGCACCCGCCGGGCACCUGCAGCGGCGCCGGGCAGUUCGCAUUUACGUUGGCGGCGCAGCUCGGCCCCGACGUGCAACCAUUCGACGUCGGCGUGAAGCUCAGCGGCACGUUGAACCCUGAUAACAAAGCGGUUCGUUCAUUCACAAAUUUGUACCGUAAAUUAAAUACUGUUUAAUUCUAAUAGUUUAAGCUUAUAGAAUAAAAGUACCAGCCACGAGGGAGAUGUCAAAGUAGUCGAGGCCCCCAGACUGGUCGAGAGAAUACUCGGCGAGAGUAUUGGGGUUCUGUCCGUAGCCGGUGCAGGCGAGGACGCCGCCGCAGUCGCCGGUCUGGCAGUUGCCGUUGCCGUUGGAGUCGAAGGAGCAGCCGGUGCGAGCCCAGACGCGGCCACCGGUGGUGCCGUCAGCCACGUUGAAGGUCCAGGACUGGCCCUGGUCGAGCUGGAUGCCGCCGCCGGGGGAGGCGGCGGCCCAGACGGUGUAGGAGCAUUGGUUGAUGACGUUGAAGGUCGAGGCGGCGGCGAGAGGGAGGAGGGCGAGGAGCAGGAGAGGGAGAGUGUUUUGUGUGGCCAUUUCUGGGGAGAAAAUGGAUUCAAAGUGUUGUUGUUGUUGUUGUUGUUGUUGUGGGUUGGGAGGAAGGGGGAGGGAGUGCAAUUUAUAGAUGUUUUGGCGAUGUUGCAUGGGGGAAUUUAUGCUUACGUUUUGAGAUGAAGAGGAAAAUUCAAAGAUUGCUGCGACCAAAGUGACUAAUUGGCCGUGAAUGUUGGGAUGUUGAUGUUUGGACGUAUUGCAUAACGCUUUUAUUCUCUCAGAAAAUCUCUCUCUCUCUCUCUCUCUCUCUCUCUCUCUCUAUAUAUAUAUAUAUAUAUAAUUUUAAAAGGGAGAUAAUAUACUUUACUCUCUAAAUACCAAAAAAAUAUACACUUAAUUCUUUUCAAAAGAUCAAAAAAAUGUUGAAAAAAAUAGUGAUAUGACUAAAUACGCCUUCAUAUUAUUAUCACAAUUAUGUUUCCUCUUAAGAAAGUUAAGUGCAUACUUCUUUUUUAUUUAAGAGGUUAAAUAUUACCGAUGUAAGUUUUCGGAAGAAUCAAAUGCACGCUAUUUUUAUUCAAGGAGUUUAGUGCAAUAAUAUGUGAAAUGUUGAACAGGAUCAAGUAUAGUUUAGCCCAUACAUAAUUGCGUUAUGCUUCCUACAUAGAGUUGGUUGUUACCUGAUUUUAGGGUUCACUUGACCUAUGUAGAGCUGGAGGAGAAAUUCUACUAUAUAUUUUCUUUAAAGGGGUAAUUAAAAUCUAUGCAUCUGUCGUUGGGUGUAAUUAGUGGAAGUAAUGUUGUGCUCACUUUCCAAAUUGCGGAGUAGAAUUAGAUGGUAAAAGCUACAUCAUUAGCGGAUCGACACAAACCACUGCACUUAGGGAUUGUUUAAUUGUAUAUAAUUGCAAUUAUAUGGCAUCGAUAGAGUUGAGAAAAGAAAAAAAAUGAACGGGCGAAAAAGGAAAAAGGAGGGAACUCAACAGCAACAUGGGGGCCGUAGAAAAAACAAGAGAAGGAAGAGAAAGUAGGUGGAGAAGGAGAGGGAGAAAGCGAGGAUGGAGUAAGACAAAUCGGAACGUAAGGAGCAAAAGGAACAAAUAAAAAAAAAGGAGAGAGAAAAAAAAAAAAAAGGUAUUUGGUCAGUUUACUAAAAAUUUGGAUUGAAUCUAUAAAAUUCAAAAUAAUGGUUUACUUUUGAAAAAAUUCAAAACUAGUAAUUUUUUUAUGCAAAUUGGUUUAAAUAGAAAGUUCUUUUUGACAACUCCAAUAGAAUGUAUUGAUUACCUUUUGUGUUCGAAUUGCUGGAAAAGUUAUGUUAAUAACUAAGGUACCCAAGCAUUAAUCUAGGAUUGUAUUUUGAAUCAAAUUUUAAUGAGAAGCUCCCCAACAAAAUAUUGUUGGAGAGUGCUUGAUUCACUGCUACGUGUUAGUUUUAACUCUAUUUAAAAAUUUAUUAGGUAACUUUUAAAAAAAUAUAUAAUUUUUUGAGCAAUGAUAAAACUGACACAUUAUAGUAGAUCGGAACUCAUCAAAGAGACAUCGGUGUAGAGUUUUCUAAUGAAGGUUUUUCUAUUUUCAAAAAUAUUUUAUCAGUAAAAUUGUUCAAGAAAUAAAGAUAGCUUUGUCAUUAAAAAUCGAAUACUGUCACUUCUAUUAUGUCGCUUCUAGUAAGAGUAGAAGUUUCAAACUAAAAUCUAUGUAUUUUUUUGGACCCAUAAUAUCUCAUUUUGCUUUUCCACUAGGUCAAAACUUUUUUACUUUUUGUCUGCUAAACCAUCUAGGGUUUUGUUUGAACAAGUAAGCGUUUAAAUGACAACCGCGACAAUCAAUCAAUUAUAUCGUAAAGAGUCAUGAUCAUUUGAGCUGGCAUUUAAUUAUAAAAUUAGAUUAUAACACUUAUCUUUUAAAAGAUAGUUUAAAGACCUUGAGCAACAUAAGAGAGUAAACCUCAAUUAUUCAAUCUUUUUUCUUUUUUUUUUUUCCCUAGAACUGCAUACUUUUCCACAGGCAUUUAAAUGCUUAUUAAUUUCUAUCUUUUUUGUACCCUGAAAACGAAAAGGACAUAAUACACUUGCCUAACACUCAAUCAAUAUUCCACAAAAAUAAUCUUCCAAAAGUAUAAUGGAAAACUCCAUGACUGGCAACAUUUUAUAAAAAAAUUUUCCACAGUUCUUAAAUUAUGCAAUAAGUGAGCCUACUUCCUAUGGCACCCUUAGAAUUUACAAUAGUUUUAUAUAUAAAGUAUAUAUAAUAUGACUAAAUCUCUCAAUCCGGCUAGAAUAUAUUUGACGAUGGUUUGAUCUAAAAAAUUAAGAAAAUUAAGUAUGAUAGAGUUAGAAUAGUUUUAGAAUAAACGACUCCUUGGCCUUGGAGAGCAAAGCGUCACACUUCCCAUGUUUAUGCAGUUAAUUAAUCCAAGUCACGUGAUUUAACUUAAAAUGGAACUUGGAAACUUCCUUAUCUUACUUGACAAGUUCCAGAAUCCUAAUUUCCAAGCACAUUUUCCACCACGAUUCUUAAAGACCAAUCAAUAAUUUCUCAAAUUUUUGGUACAUAUAUCAUUUGCCGUCACCUUUGACCGGCAUUUUCCAUCACCGAAUUUGACCUAAAAUAAGUCUAAGAAAUUUCCAACUAUAUCUGAAGUUCCAUUGUCAAAACAGAAGAGAAACAUAAUAAUUUUCCAGGCAUAUUAGAUUUUCAAGAAUAUUCUCAUCACUUUCUUAAUAUUCUUCGUGUUAAAUAUAAAAAAAUAUAAACAUAGUUCUCUCACAGUUUAAGAUUUUAAAAUACAACGGUUGUUUUACAUAGUAUUAAAAAAGUAUUAAAACAGGAGAUUCUGAGUCAAUCACAUCCGCUCUUAGCAUUAUAUUUUUUCUCAUGUCCUGAGUUCGAGUCACGUUAUAGCCUUGCAAAAGUUUCGAGCCCAGACGUUAUUGAGAGUGCUAAAUUAAAACAUAUAUGAAUAUCGUUCUCUCCAUAGUUUAAACUUUUAGGUAUCGUUUGGUUCGGUGAUAAGCAAAAAGUGGCUAUUCAGAAUAGGUAUAAAAUGAGUAUAAGCGGAUUGGAUCAAUUUUGGCGUUUGGAUGAAAUUGAGUUACUCCUAGGGAUAAAAAAAUAGCGUUUGUUAGGUAAGAUAGAAUAAGAAAGAUAGUAAAUUUUAAAAUAAAAAAUAAUGAUAUUACCUUUUAUUAUAUUUGAAUUUAAUUUUUUGAUUAUAUUUUUAAAUUUACAAUUUUAACUUUGAAAUUUUAAAAUUUGAAAUUAAAAUUUAAAAUUGAAAAUCUCAAUUUUAAAUUAAAUUUCAAACUUUAAUUUAAGAUCAAAUUUAAAUUUGAAAAAUAUAAAAUAUCAAAUUUAAAUUUGAAAAAUUUAAAAUAUCAAUUUUAAUUUGAAAAAUUUAAAAUAUCAAAUUUAAAUUUAAAAUUAAAAAUAUAAUUAAGUAAUUAUAAAACUUUAAUUUUGAUAUUACAAAAUUUAAAUUUAAAAUUUUAAAAUAUUAAAAUUUUAAAAAUUGGGUUGGGAAGCAAUAAUAAAAACUAUUUAUUAUAAUAAAUUUAUAAAUUUUUUAAAAAUUCUACUUAAACUUAAAUUUAAUAAAAAGAAUUUAUUAUAAUAUUUAAAAAUAAUUUAUUAUAAAAUUUAUUAUAAAAUUUAAAUAUAAAUAAUAUGUAUUAAUAUAGUGUAAUUAAUAAAUUUAUAAUAAAAAUAAUGAAUUAUAAUAUAUAAUAUAGUAUAUUUAUAUAAUUUAGUUUUAAUUCAAUUUAUAAUUUUUAAUUAAGUUUGAAAUUAAGCAUUGAAAUAGUACUAUUCCACCAAAAUAGUGGAAUAGCAAAUCUCUUACUAAUCCGGGAUAACCGGAAACAGGGACGAAGCUAUAUGGAGGCCCAAGGUGGCCAUGGCCUCCCUCAACUUUUCAAUAUCUAUUAACCUAUAUGAAUCCUCAAUGAUUUUGCCACGUGGCAAGUUUUCCUCCACCCUCAGUAACUUUUUUUUUUGAAUUAAUUUUUACUCAUGGCUUUUCCCCUCCCCUCCUCUCUAUUCAAUGAUAUAUAAUCAAUGUGCUUUCCUCUUCAAUAUAAGUUCUCUCUUUUCCCUCAAACAAUUCCUAAUAUGCAAAAUUAAAAGAGGAGAGGUUAGUUUUGAUUUCAUAAUUGAUGUGACAGUUCUCAAAAGGGUGCAAAAUCAUGCAAACUUUUAUGAGAUUUUCAUCGCAAUCGUCGUCAUGAUCGCAACAUUAUCAUCUCUAUCUUCAUACGACCUUUGUAGAUUUUUUCUUUAAAUGGUAAUUCUAGGCAGUUAUCAAUUUUCAAUGGUUAUAUUAGUUAGUUUAAUUCAUACAUUUACCUACCCAAAAAAUAAAACACACUUGAAUUUUUAUUUUCCAAACUCCUUUCUUCGCCCUCUUCAAUAUUUUUUAUUUUUUCUUCUAUUAUUUAUCAGCCGCACCGCGCGGGUUACUACACUAGUUUGUUUAAUGGUUCUUCAAAGUUUUUUUUUUGUGAACCAUGGAUAGCUUUGGCCCCCCUAAUUUUUCAAUAUUUACUUAACAGUGUGGUGCCAAUAUAACUCUCUCUCUCUCUUUCUCCUAAUUGGUAUACUCUUUUUAUGGGUGAAAAUAUAUUAAAAGUUUCUUGCUUAUAGAGUAUUUUAUAAUAUAUUUCUCUACUCUAAAAAUUUUAUUUAAUAUUUUUUUUAACUUUUAUUUAUCUUAGGUGAGCUUUUUUAUUUGACUAAAUCAAAAAUUGCUUAAUAGCUAUGUUAAUUUUAUUUACUAAAAAACUAAGAAAUUACUGUUAGAUUUAGUAAAAUUUCUAAAUUAUUUUAAUAUAAUAAUAUAAAUAAAAUAAUUAGAAGUUAAACAUAUGAAAAUAAAAAACAUAAAGUUCAUAUUUUUACAUUAUUUAUUUCAUUAAUAAUUUUUUAAUAAAAAAUUUUUUAUUAGAAAAUAUUUUGUUUAUUAUUUAUUACUAAAGUUUCUAUUUAAAUAUAUUUUGGCCCCCCCUCAAGAUUGAAUUCUAGUUUCGUCCCUGACCGGAAAUAGUAAGGUUUUGACCGGGAUAAAAUAUUUCCGUAAAACAUUACUCCACUUGGCGGAAUAAUAGGAAUAACUUUCGUUAUCCCCGCUUAUUCCCCGAACCAAAUGGGGCCUUAGAUUAGAUAAUUCCAACACCUACUUCGGUAAGUUACCUCUUCUGUGGAUAAGCUUCUCCUCGAUCAGAAGAUCAACACGAGUCGAUCUCAUAUCGAAUUUUGAUGAAAGCGAGAUACGAGUUGAACCGGAUUGUAAUUCAAACUACUAGGAAAACAGGAUUGCAUUAUCAUUAUCCAAGGGUGGAAUGCGCAGGAAAGGAAAACAAAUUCACCAUGUUUAUGUACAGUAGUAGUAAAGCAUUCUCUACUGAAACUUCAUUAUCAUUUCUCAUUUGUCUCCUUCAAUUUACCAGUGUUUUUUUUUUUUUCCCCCAAUUUUUGGAUUGGCAUAAUUUCGUAGAACAGCAAACUGAUCCCCGGCUAUAUAUCGUCCAUGUCAUGUAACACUAAUGAUCGAUCAUUUCAUACUUCAAUUUGCUAAAGUGGAGAAAAAACACACAUCUAAUUAAAAGGCACAAAAACCAAAAGGGGAAAAGUAUAACCAUGCAUCCAACUCAAAAUAGCUCUGCGAAAACAAUAGACAAAAUUUGAGGCCUCACUUGGUCCGGAUAAUAUACGUACAAUAUACGUAUAGUAGUAUCUCUGAUCUAAGGGCAAAACACAAUCUGGUAAUUGGUGUUUCCAGGGCAAGCGAAAGUGGCGCUGUUAUCAUCGUAAGGAUAGCUGAAUGACUGAGGGCACUGGCUCUUGAAGUACUUGGAGUACUUCGUCGGGUUGCAGCUGCUCGGGGACGGGCAGCAGUACUCCGGCGUCCCGAAGAUCGUGCACGGGUCGCCGCACCCCCCGGGCACCUGCAGCUCUGCCGGGCACUGCGCAUUUACGUCGGCAGCGCAGCUCGGCCCCGACGUGCAGCCGUUCGACGUCGGCUUGAAGCUCAGCGGCACGUUGAACCCUGAAAACAAAGCGGUUUGUUCAUUCACAAAUUUGUACCGUAAAUUAAACACUGUUCUCUGAUAGUUUAAACUUAUAGAAUAAAAUCACCAUCCACGAGGGAGAUGUCAAAGUAGUCGAGGCCCCCAGGGUUGUUGAGAGAAUACUCGGUGAGAGUAUUGGGGCUCUGUCCGGAGCCGGUGCAGGCGAGGACGCCGCCGCAGUCGCCGGUCUGGCAGUGGCCAUUGCCGGUGGAGUUGAAGGUGCAUCCGGUGCGAGGCCAGACGCGGCCGCCGGUGGUGCCGUCAGGCACGUUGUAGGACCAGGACUGGCCCGGGUUGAGCUGGAUCCCGCCGCCGGGGGAGGCGGCGGCCCAGACGGUGUAGGAGCAAUUGUUGGCGACGUCGAAGGUGGAGGCGGCGGCGAGAGGGAGGAGGGCGAGGAGCAGGAGAGGGAGAGUGUUUUGUGCGGCCAUUUCUGGGAGCAAAAAGAUUUGUGUGUUGUUGUUGUUGUUGUUGUUGUUGUCGUUGUUCCUUGUGGGGGUGUUGUGCUGUGAGUAGGAAAGGGGCCGGGGGAGUGGAAUUCAUAAGAGGUUUCGGAGAGGUUGCGUAGGGUAAUUUGUGAUGACGUUUUGAGAUGAAGAGGAAAUUUCGAUGAUCACUAUGGCCGUGUGCGUAGGGUAGGGAUGACGUUUCAACUUAUAUAUAUAUAUAAAGCAAUGCUUUUUUGACCGGCUAAUCUAUUGUAAUAGAAUAGAUCUACAUUCUUUCGGUAAAAAUAAAAAAUAAAAUAAAAUACUUCUAUGCAAAUAACUUAUAAGCUGGUUUGAGAAAAGUAAAUUUUAAAACCGGCUAUAUAUAAAUAUAUGAAUCCCAGUUCGGGUUCAGGUUGCAGCGAGGGGCGGAGGCGCGGCGAGCCUGGUGCGGGUGGGGCCCAGCUGGAGGAGAGGAAGGAAGAAUUUUUUUUAUUUUUCCUUCUCUCUCUUUAUUUUUUUUUUUUCUAUUUAGUAUAUUUGUAUUAAAUAUAAAUUUUAUUAAUUUUAUACUAUUAACUAUUUAUAGAGAGAGAGAGAGAGUAGAGUAGAGUAGAGUAGAGUAGAAGCAUCGAGGGGCAUAGUAUGGACAAGUAUGGGGAAUAGAGGAAAAUUUGGCUGAGGGACCCAUGGCUACAAAUUUAGGGGAAGAGAGAGAGAGAGAGAGAGAGAUGGAGAGAUAGAGGAGGGAAGGAGAAUAAGAAAGAGAGAGCUAUGAGGGGCCCAACUCCGAAAUCAUGAAAAAGCUUCUUGAAGCGGAAAAAUUCCAGAAUGCAACGGGUAUAUUAGUGACGUGGCGUAAUAAAUCAAUCAAAUUAAUUCUUUUAAGAAUAUAUGUCCCAUCAUGAUUGUAAAAAAGUAUUUUUAUUGUACUUUUGUUUGAAAAGAAGGAAUGUGAUUGGCUUGUUAUUGAUCACGUGGUGUAAGUGUGACAGUAUAGAAUCCCUCCUUGAAGCGGUUGAGGUUCAUCCUUUAAUGUCAAACAAAAAAUAAAUUACCUUUUUAAUUAUUUUUUUUGAAACACACACACACACACACACACACACACACACACACACACACAUAUAUANAUAUAUAUAUAUAUUACUUUACAUUAUUUCUCAAAAAACUUGCCACAUAGCAACACAAGCUUCAAUGUUGUUGGGUGUGAGCUCCACCGGUUCUUUUUUUUUAGUUGAACUGAACCGAAUUGUCGAGUAUGAGUCCCAUCCUAAACCGGCUAAAGUCCUCCAAAUUAUUUCACCUUUUUUUGCUUGAACCAAAUAUGGUUGAGUGAGGUCUCUACACUAAACCGGUUCAUGUUUCCUAUUUUUUGUUUGCCUAAACCAAACCGGUGCCCUCUUUCUUUGCUUGAACCAAUCUGCUUCAUUAGACCGAACCAGACUAAUUGAUUCAUGUCAUCCAUUAUUCGGCCAACUUGCAUUACAUCUAUUAUCUAUUAUCUAUUAUCUAUUAUCUAUUAAUUUAUAUUAUUUCUCAAAAAACUUGCCACAUGGCAACACAAGUUUCAAUGUUGUUGGGUGUGGGCUCCACCGGUUCUUUUUUUUUAGUUGAACCGAACCGAAUUGUCGAGUAUGAGUCCCAUCCUAAACCGGCUCAAGUCUUCCAAAUUAUUUCACCUUUUUUUGCUUGAACCAAAUAUGGUUGAGUAAGGCCUCUACACUAAACCGGCUCAUAUUUUCUGUUUUUUGUUUGCCUGAACCAAACCGGUGCCCUCUUUCUUUGCUUGAACCAGUCUACUUUAUUAGACCGAACCAGACCAAUUGAUUCAUGUCAUCCAUUAUUCGGCCAACUUGCAUUACAUCUAUUAUCUAUUAUCUAUUAUCUAUCUAUUACUUUAUAUUAUUUCUCAAAACACUUGCCACAUGGCAACACAAGCUUCAAUGUUGUUGGGUGUGGGCUCCACCGGUUCUUUUUCUUUAGUUGAACCGAACCAAAUUGUCGAGUAUGAGUCCCAUCCUAAACCGGCUCAAGUCCUCCAAAUAUUCACCUUUUUUUGCUUGAACCAAAUAUGGUUGAGUGAGGCCUCUACACUAAACUGGCUCAUGUUUCCUUUUUUUUGUUUGCCUGAACCAAACCGGUGCCCUCUUUCUUUGUUUGAACCAGUCUGCUUUAUUAAAUCGAACCAGACCAAUUGAUUCAUAUCAUUCAUUAUUCGGCCAACUUGUAUUACAUGUUAAAUAAUUAUAAUAACUCGAAAAAAAAAACUUCAAUUAACAAUCAUAUAUAUAUUAUUUUAUUUAUUUAUUUAUUUAUUUAUAUAUUAUUUCUUCUAAAGUUGCCACAUGGCAACACAAGCUUCAAUGUUGUUGGGUGUGGGCUCCACCGGUUCUUUUCCUUUAGUUGAAUCGAACCGAAUUGUCGAGUAUGAGUGCCAUCCUGAACUGGCUCAAGUCCUCCAAAUAAUUUCACCUUUUUUUGCUUGAACUAUGGAUGGUUGAGGGCUGCCUCUACAAUCAGCCAGCUCUUGCUUCUUUUUUUUUGUCUGCAUCAAACCAGCCGCUACCCUCUUUCUUUGCUUGAACCAGUCUGCUUUACUAGACCAAACCAGACCAAUUGAUUCAUAUCAUUCAUUAUUCGGCCAACUUGCAUUACAUGUUAAAUAAUUAUAAUAAUUCGAAAAAAGAACUUCAAUUAUCAAUCAUAUAUAUAUAUUAUUUUAUUUAUUUAUUUAUACAUUAUUUUUUCUAAAGUUGCCACAUGGCAACUUUUUCUUCAUUUUUGAGUGUGUGCUCCANNNNNNNNNNNNNNNNNNNNNNNNNAUAUAUAUAUAUAGAGAGAGAGAGAGAGAGAGAGAGAGAGAGAGAGAGCGCCAAGCAUAAUACUUUCGAAAAUAUAAAGAAGUUGAUACUUUCAAGUUUUUAACCCUUUCAUCAAUUUUUUUAAUUAUUUAUAAUUUUUGAAUUAAUAUUAUACUCACAUAAGGACUACUAAAUUUUAUGGGAAUCUCUCAAACCUAGAAGGGAUCACUAUUAUCUCAAUCGUAUAGUUGUUGAUCUAAGGACUAAAAAAUUAAAAGCUCCAACUUUUAUAUACUUCUGAAAGUAUAAUAACUCCACUCUCUCUCUCUCUCUCUCUCUCUCUCUCUCUAUAUAUAUAUAUAUAUAUGACACAACAAAUGAAGGCAUAUGUUUUUUAUGUCGCACUUGCACCACAUCACUCAUAUCACAAGCCAAUUAAAUCUUUUCUUCCCAAGGAAAAAUAUAAUAAUUUUUUUUAAAAAAAAAUUGUGGUAGAAUGGGCGAAUCCUAGGGACAUAAUUUGAUUGAUUCCAAACAUAGAUAACAUGGUGCAAUUGCAACAUCCUAAACUUUUUCUUAGGAGCGUAAUUUGAUUAGUUGGGAACACAAUAAUGUGGUGCUAUUGCCACAUUUCAGAUAUUUUCCUCAGAAAAAAGUUGCAACUAAAAAAAUGAUUCUAACAGGACUCGGAAUUAGAAUUUCCUAUUGUCAUUAUUCGAUAGCUUAAGCUACUAAAGAACUAUAUAUGUUUUUAACACUAAGUUCCAUUGCUACACUCUUAUAAGUAUGAUCGCCUCCGUAAAUAUAAGUCAUUUUCGAUGAUAGAGUUUUCGAAUCAACGCUCCGUAUCGUUAAAUAUUAUCUAAAUCAUUUAAAACUUUUAAAAACUAAAUUUCAUAAUUCUUCGAUAUUAUUUACCUUACAAUCAAAAGAUAUAAAAGUUGACAAUUUUUAAUAGCCAGCAUAGAAUAGUUGCUAGUUUAACGAUAUAAAAGAAUCAAAAUCGAUUGAAUUUUUGAUAGAAAAUUUUAUUCACUAUCUAGAUAAAGAAGAAUAAAUCCAAUCUUAAAUAAAAGAAUCCGAUUUUUUAAUUUUAGGAGGUCGUUUGAUUUCGACCGUGUAUUUUAUACCCACCUGAUAGAUUUUAUUAUAAUUUUAAAAAGAGUAAUGCUUCUAUAUUUUUUUUUUUCGUUACCGUUCAUUCACGCAUGUUCAAUGGUUCAGAUUUAAUUUUUUUUAAAUUGUGACCUGCAAUAGCAGAUCACUUUGAGAGAGGUACUGGUUACCAGGUAACUCAAAAAAUAGUAUUUUUGUCUUUUAAUACAUAGGCAAUUUCGUCAUUUUAUCUCUACUAUAUUUUCAAAAAAUUUUUAUUUUCUCUUUGUUUCCUUUUUUAGUAACUAAAUUAGAAAAAUUCUUAAAUUUUUUAAACAUAUUAAAUAUGUUGAAUUUAAAUAUUUGCCCACAUUUAAUUUUUUAAAAUUAGUAUACAAAAUUAAUGACUAAGAUGAAUUCAUAAUUUUGUUAAACGUAUUAAAUAUGUUAAAUUUAAAUAUUUACCAACAUUACAAAUGUUUUUAAAUAGUCAUACAAAAUUAAUGUCUAAAGUAGAAAUCUUCUUAAAAUUUUUUAACAUAUUAAAUACAUUUAAAUUAUAAUUUUACUUAUAUUCAAAAUUUUUUAAAUAAGUGAUACAAAUUAAUGUCUAAACUAUAGGAAUUUAAAAGUUUCUUAAACAUAUUAAAUAUGUUUGAAUUAAAAGUUAUACUAAACAUUACAAUUUUUUUAAAUAGUAAUACAAAAUUCCUCUAAUAAAUUUCACUUUUAAUUUUAAUAUUUAAUAUUUAAUUAAAUUCAUCGUAUUAGAAUAGAACUAUUUCUAAAAUUUCUAUAAUUUGAUUAAUGCAUAAUUCUUAGUAAACACUAAAACAUUUAAAUAGAUGCAUAAUUAUUGUCUAUUAAUGCAUAAAUUUGGUUAAUCAAUUAAUUUUCUAAAUUAGUGCAAAUAAUGCAUAAAUUUUAGGACCUCAAUUAAAAGUUCUUUAAAUGUUGUAUUGUUUAUUACCAAACUAACCUUGAAUAAAAUAAUCAUUUUACCUGUUAAUCAUUAAAAUUACAUUUUUACCCUCUAUUAAUCAACGGUUAAGAUCUUUUUAUUUUUUUAAAAAAAGUACCGAAUCAUUUCUCAUAUUAUAUAUAUAUAUUAUAUAUAUAUAUAUAUAUAAGGCCUUUCUGAAUAAAAAGUCACUUAUUUGGGUUUUGCAAAAUGACCAGGUUUAUUCGUUUUUACAGAUUCGUCCACUUUUUCAGCUAAAGUGACCAAAUAUUCUUAUUAUCUUUUCUCUUUCCUCUUUUUGUUUUUUCGUUCGUUUUUUUUUUCUUUUCGCCUCCUCCCGACCCCUGCCCUCCGCCUCGCCUCCUCCUCCGCCUCCCCCCCCCCCCCCGCCCUCUCCUCCUCCUCCUCGACUCCCUCUGCGACCGCCGCCUCGUCGCCGACGCCGAAUCCCUCUUCCUCCGCCCCCUUCCCUUCCUCCCCUCCCCCUUACCCCGACACCAAGGUCUACAACCUCCUCCUCCGCGGCUGGCUCAAGGUCCGCCGAUGGCGCCGCUACCGCGAGCUCUGCUCGACAUGGACCGCACCGGUCCCAAAGACCUCCAUUCUACUUCCGUCUCUUACAUGGACGCCCUCCGUCCAAGUCCGGAAGCCCUGGAACGCCGUCCGACUCUUCAAGGAGAUGUCCCGAAAGUUCGCUCCCCGACGCCGUCGCCUACAAACCGCAUCACGCGCCCUUGGAUCUUUAUCAACGGCCCGCGUGCCCACCCGCCGCCGUGGCGGGGGAGUGCUGGUCGCGGGGCGCGCGCAGUGCGGCACGGGGCAGGGUCAGCGGCAAGGCGGUACACGCGGCGGCGGCAGGCGGGCACGCGGGCGGCUGUGGCUGCUUCUUCUUCUUCUUCAUGGUGUAGGUGGCACCAUUACACCAUUAAUAGUGUAUUUCACCAUUACACGCAUUAAUGGUGUAUGGUGCACCAUUAAUGGGUAAUUAUACCAUUAACCAUUAAUGGUGUAAUGCGUGCCCAUUACAUCAUUAAUGGUGUAAUGGUUUACCAUACACCAUUACGAAGAAGAAGAACGAGUGCACCAUUACACCAUACGAAGAAGAAGAAGCCGCGUGCACGCGUACCUGCCCGCUGCCGCCGCGUUGCCCGCUCCGCCGCCGCCGCGUCACCGGCCCUGCAGCCGACCGGCCCCUCGCUGCGCUCGUGUGUGUUCGACGAAUCGCCACUUCAAGGCUUCCUGAUCCCGCCGCUUCCUUUGCUUCUCAGUAGCGGACAAGAACUCUCUCUCCUCGUGCGCCGGAGCGCGGCCCCCUCGGCACGACAGGCUUCGGACGGGUCGAGAGACGCGUCCGGGAGUUGGGAGCAGGCCGAUGGGUGCCGGCGCGGCGCACCAGCUGAGGAUCGCGUUCCUGAUAACGACGUUGGGGAUGAGGAGGGGAGAGGCGGAGGCAGAGGUCGAGAGGUUGAGGGCGUGGGAGAGGCACGAGGGUGAAGCGAGGUCGAGCACGUGUGGACGCAAGCUCCGCUCGCGAUCGGCCGUCGAGCACAGCGUCACCACCGACGAGUCGCGCACUCUGACUUGGCGCCUUCCUUGCGCCGCCUCUGCUCCUUCGGCGGCCGGAGGACCCCUCGUUGGCCGCCUUCCGUGGGAUCGCGAGAGGAGGCGACGCGCGUCCCUGGGAAAAGAAAGAAAAAAAAACAACGAGAAAAAAAAAGAGAGAAGAAAAACGUAUAAGGGUAUUUUAGUCAGUUUGCUGAAAAAGUGGACCGAAUCUGCUAAAACGAAAAGGUGGUCCGAUUUUGCAAAAGCCCAAAAUAAGUGGAUUUUUUAUGCAAAAGCCUAUAUAAUAAUAUAUUAAAUAUAAUAUAAUAUAUCAUAUAUAUAUAUAAUAUAUAUAUAUAUAUAUUCAUUCUUACCUGGAGGUUGUUAAUAUAAAAAGUAUUUAAUUACCGUUUUAUACUAACUUAAAAUUUUAAAGUAUAACGAUUAUUUCACAUGACAUCAAAGCACGAGGUUUUAAGUGCGUGUCAUAUCAGGCUCCUAAUAUUAUUAUUAUUUUUUUCAUUAAUUUCAAGUACACAUCCGGGAUUUACAAACAAUUUCGAGCACCAUUUUCUAGGCAUGCUAUAAUCCAAUGAGGAAAAAAAGCUUAAAUUUACUUAUACUCUGAUAAAUAGAAAGUACAGUUUGUUCCAGAAGCCGAACUGAACAAGCAUUAGCAUACAUUUUCAAAAAAAAACUUUAAUAGGAAGCUUCCUAAUGAGGCUUUAUUGGAGAGUUCUUGAUUCGCUACUAUAUGUUAGAUUUUUUCUUCCUAUUUUGUGGAUCGUAAGUGCUAAUCAACUAUUCCAAAAGCACACGCGUAUGGAUAGAAAGGACGUACCCAUUGCACAUAAGGAUUUAGCCACAGUGCUCGCGGAUUUCGAUCCGAUUCAACCCAUAUGAACAUUGGGUCUAUUGUUGAGCCUCGAGCUUGCCGUUAGGUCUCUUAUGUACCGCACCUCCACUCAAUUUAUAAGUCUUCUGGAUCUAUUGUUACGGGACAUGAUGUUUGACUUAUUUUAGUCCAAUAAUAAGUAGCCAAUAAUUCCAACUCCAGAUCAUUUUGCUAAUGUUAAAUUUAGUGCAAUUGCAAGUCUCAGUGUGAUAGAUAUACUUUCUUGCAGAGUCUCAGAUUUGAUCAAUCAAUCUUGUGUUCUUGAGCAUCACCUUGCAAUGGAAAUCACAUCUUUUAUGAAUGUGCCCGUACGUACGUAGUAGAUCUCUUGGAAUUUCAUGGAUGAAUCGAACCAGUUUGAUUGUGUUUUCUUUUAGUUUCGUUCUUGUACAAAAUUAAAUUUCAUGUUAUAUAGUUUUGCUAUUGGGAGCUAUAUAUAUAUAAACCAAAUUACUUGAAGAGUCUGGUUGUUUUGUUGGCUUAUUUUUUGGGUAAUAUUGGUUCUGUCAAUGACCAUUUUAUUUACAAUUUAAUCACUGCUGCAAUAUUUUUCGUUUUAAUGAAUUGCUAUUUUAAGUAAUGCUAUGGACACGUGCUAUGCUCAAAUCCUCCCAUCAGCUUUUUCAUGUAAGGUGAAUUUUUAAGUUAAAAGAGCUUUUACUUUUCGAGCACAGAAUCACAUAUUUUUCACUCAGCUUCUUGUUGCAAAAGAAGCCCAUAAUAAAUCAGAGGAUGUUGUAAUUUUAUUUGUAUCCAACCAAAUGGAUUAGGCUUAUUAUUACUUUUAUUUCAAACUACAAUCCCCAUGGAAUGGGCUUCCACAAAGCCACCUCCUUUAUUCCACACGCAUUUAUACAAUACGUAGGCAUACGUGUAUGUAUAUAUCUGUACGUAUAGUAGCUAGUAUCUGUGAUCUAAGGGCAAAACACAACCUGGUAGUUGGUGUUUCCAGGGCAAGUGAAAUUGGUGCCGUCGUAAUCGUCAGGAUAGCUGAAUGCCUGAGGGCACUGGCCCUUGAAGUACUCGGAGUACUGCGUCGGGUUGCAGCUGCUCCCGGACGGGCAGCAGUACUCGGGCGUCCCGAAGAUCGUGCACGGGUCGUCGCACCCGCCGGGCACCUGCAGCGGCGCCGGGCAGUUCGCAUUUACGUUGGCCGCGCAGCUCGGCCCCGAUGUGCAGCCGUUCGACGUCGGCGUGAAGCUCAGCGGCACGUUGAACCCUGAAAACAAAGCGCUUAUGUUCAUUCACAAAUUUGUACUGUAAAUUAAACACUGUUAUCUGAUAGUUUAAGUUUAUAGAAUAAAAGUACCAGCCACGAGGGAGAUGUCAAAGUAGUCGAGGCCCGCAUACUGAUCGAGAGCAUACUCGGCGAGAGUAUUGGGGUUCUGUCCGUAGCCGGUGCAGGCGAGGACGCCGCCGCAGUCGCCGGUCUGGCAGUGGCCGUUGCCAUUGGAGUCGAAGGAGCAGCCGGUGCGAGCCCAGACGCGGCCGCCGGUGGUGCCGUCAGCCACGUUGAAGGUCCAGGACUGGCCUGGGUUGAGCUGGGCGCCGCCACCGGGGGAGGCGGCGGCCCAGACGGUGUAGGAGCAUUGGUUGAUGACGUUGAAGGUCGAGGCGGCGGCGAGAGGGAGGAGGGCGAGGAGCAGGAGAGGGAGAGUGGUUUGUGUGGCCAUUUCUGGGGAGAAAUUGGAUUCAAAGUGUUGUUGUUGUUGUUGUUGUUGUUG
rnacentral:lncRNA from 1 species